CAGACGAUGCGUCAUGCAUAUCAAUAAGCGGAGGAAAAGAAACUAACAAGGAUUCCCUUAGUAACGGCGAGUGAAGCGGGAAGAGCUCAAAUUUGAAAUCUUGAAAGGUCACCUUUCACGAAUUGUAGUUUAAAGAAGUGUUUUCUGUUACGAUCGUAAUAUAAGUUCUUUGGAAUAGGACAUCACAGAGGGUGAGAAUCCCGUCUAUGAUUGCGAUUUGUAGCUUUGUGAUACACUUUCAAAGAGUCGGGUUGUUUGGGAAUGCAGCCCAAAACGGGAGGUAAAUUUCUUCUAAGGCUAAAUAUUGGCGAGAGACCGAUAGCGAACAAGUACCGUGAGGGAAAGAUGAAAAGAACUUUGAAAAGAGAGUUAAAUAGUACGUGAAAUUGUCAAAAGGGAAGCGUUUGACACCAGUGUUGUUUUCUCGAAAAUCAAUUAAAAAUGGCUCGAUUUUGUAUUGCUGAGACCUUAAAAGCUCACUGUACAUUUUUCGUGUCUUUUUUAAUGCACUUUUCGUUUAACAAGUCAACAUCAGUUUCUUUUGUUGUAAAAGGGUCAUUGGAAGGUGGCUUUCUUUUCGGAGAAAGUGUUUAUAGCCUUUGGCCUCUGCAAUCGGAGAGACUGAGGUCUGCAGCGUAGACUCUUCGGGGUUAGAUACAUUUGUGCUAAGUUAUAGCUUUUUAUAGACAACUUGUUGACUAUAAUUAGUCUUGUAGCUUACUCGCUUAUGCUAUUUUACCUACGCUUAGGUGUUGACUGAUAUGUAGUCGUA
rnacentral:rRNA from 1 species